GAUGAACGCUGGCGGCGUGCCUAAUACAUGCAAGUCGAGCGAACGGACGAGAAGCUUGCUUCUCUGAUGUUAGCGGCGGACGGGUGAGUAACACGUGGAUAACCUACCUAUAAGACUUGGAUAACUUCGGGAAACCGGAGCUAAUACUGGAUAAUAUUUUGAACCGCAUGGUUCAAAAGUUAAAGACGGUCUUGCUGUCACUUAUAGAUGGAUCCGCGUUGCAUUAGCUAGUUGGUAAGGUAACGGCUUACCAAGGCAACGAUGCAUAGCCGACCUGAGAGGAUGAUCAGCCACACUGGAACUGAGACACGGUCCAGACUCCUACGGGAGGCAGCAGUAGGGAAUAUUCCGAAAUGGGCGAAAGCCUGACGGAGCAAUGCCGCGUGAGUGAUGAAGGUCUUCGGAUCGUAAAACUCUGUUAUUAGGGAAGAACAGAUGUGUAAGAAACUGUGCACAUCUUGACGGUACCUAAUCAGAAAGCCACGGCUAACUACGUG
rnacentral:rRNA from 1 species